GAUGAACGCUGGCGGCGUGCCUAAUACAUGCAAGUCGAGCGAACGGACGAGAAGCUUGCUUCUCUGAUGUUAGCGGCGGACGGGUGAGUAACACGUGGAUAACCUACCUAUAAGACUGGGAUAACUUCGGGAAACCGGAGCUAAUACCGGAUAAUAUUUUGAACCGCAUGGUUCAAAAGUGAAAGACGGUCUUGCUGUCACUUAUAGAUGGAUCCGCGCUGCAUUAGCUAGUUGGUAAGGUAACGGCUUACCAAGGCAACGAUGCAUAGCCGACCUGAGAGGGUGAUCGGCCACACUGGAACUGAGACACGGUCCAGACUCCUACGGGAGGCAGCAGUAGGGAAUCUUCCGCAAUGGGCGAAAGCCUGACGGAGCAACGCCGCGUGAGUGAUGAAGGUCUUCGGAUCGUAAAACUCUGUUAUUAGGGAAGAACAUAUGUGUAAGUAACUGUGCACAUCUUGACGGUACCUAAUCAGAAAGCCACGGCUAACUACGUGCCAGCAGCCGCGGUAAUACGUAGGUGGCAAGCGUUAUCCGGAAUUAUUGGGCGUAAAGCGCGCGUAGGCGGUUUUUUAAGUCUGAUGUGAAAGCCCACGGCUCAACCGUGGAGGGUCAUUGGAAACUGGAAAACUUGAGUGCAGAAGAGGAAAGUGGAAUUCCAUGUGUAGCGGUGAAAUGCGCAGAGAUAUGGAGGAACACCAGUGGCGAAGGCGACUUUCUGGUCUGUAACUGACGCUGAUGUGCGAAAGCGUGGGGAUCAAACAGGAUUAGAUACCCUGGUAGUCCACGCCGUAAACGAUGAGUGCUAAGUGUUAGGGGGUUUCCGCCCCUUAGUGCUGCAGCUAACGCAUUAAGCACUCCGCCUGGGAAGUACGACCGCAAGGUUGAAACUCAAAGGAAUUGACGGGGACCCGCACAAGCGGUGGAGCAUGUGGUUUAAUUCGAAGCAACGCGAAGAACCUUACCAAAUCUUGACAUCCUUUGACAACUCUAGAGAUAGAGCUUUCCCCUUCGGGGGACAAAGUGACAGGUGGCGCAUGGUUGUCGUCAGCUCGUGUCGUGAGAUGUUGGGUUAAGUCCCGCAACGAGCGCAACCCUUAAGCUUAGUUGCCAUCAUUAAGUUGGGCACUCUAAGUUGACUGCCGGUGACAAACCGGAGGAAGGUGGGGAUGACGUCAAAUCAUCAUGCCCCUUAUGAUUUGGGCUACACACGUGCUACAAUGGACAAUACAAAGGGCAGCGAAACCGCGAGGUCAAGCAAAUCCCAUAAAGUUGUUCUCAGUUCGGAUUGUAGUCUGCAACUCGACUACAUGAAGCUGGAAUCGCUAGUAAUCGUAGAUCAGCAUGCUACGGUGAAUACGUUCCCGGGUCU
rnacentral:rRNA from 1 species